rnacentral:rRNA from 1 species
AGCGAACGCUGGCGGCAGGCUUAACACAUGCAAGUCGAGCGCCCCGCAAGGGGAGCGGCAGACGGGUGAGUAACGCGUGGGAACGUACCUUCUGGUUCGGAAUAACUCAGGGAAACUUGAGCUAAUACCGAAUAAGUCCUUCGGGAGAAAGAUUUAUCGCCGGAAGAUCGGCCCGCGUAAGAUUAGCUAGUUGGUGAGGUAACGGCUCACCAAGGCUACGAUCUUUAGCUGGUCUGAGAGGAUGAUCAGCCACAUUGGGACUGAGACACGGCCCAAACUCCUACGGGAGGCAGCAGUGGGGAAUAUUGGACAAUGGGCGCAAGCCUGAUCCAGCCAUGCCGCGUGAGUGAUGAAGGCCUUAGGGUUGUAAAGCUCUUUUAGCAGGGACGAUAAUGACGGUACCUGCAGAAAAAGCCCCGGCCAACUUCGUGCCAGCAGCCGCCGUAACAC